rnacentral:rRNA from 1 species
UACAGAGGUCUCAAGCGUUGUUCGGAUUCAUUGGGCGUAAAGGGCGCGUAGGCUGCGGGGUAAGUCGGGUGUGAAAUCUCAGGGCUCAACCCUGAACUGCACUCGAUACUGCUCUGCUUGAGGACUGGAGAGGAGACUGGAAUUCACGGUGUAGCAGUGAAAUGCGUAGAUAUCGUGAGGAAGACCAGUGGCGAAGGCGGGUCUCUGGACAGUUC